GGGUUGUGAGGUUAAGCGACUAAGCGUACACGGUGGAUGCCCUGGCAGUCAGAGGCGAUGAAGGACGUGCUAAUCUGCGAUAAGCGUCGGUAAGGUGAUAUGAACCGUUAUAACCGGCGAUUUCCGAAUGGGGAAACCCAGUGUGUUUCGACACACUAUCAUUAACUGAAUCCAUAGGUUAAUGAGGCGAACCGGGGGAACUGAAACAUCUAAGUACCCCGAGGAAAAGAAAUCAACCGAGAUUCCCCCAGUAGCGGCGAGCGAACGGGGAGCAGCCCAGAGCCUGAAUCAGUGUGUGUGUUAGUGGAAGCGUCUGGAAAGGCGCGCGAUACAGGGUGACAGCCCCGUACACAAAAAUGCACAUGCUGUGAGCUCGAUGAGUAGGGCGGGACACGUGGUAUCCUGUCUGAAUAUGGGGGGACCAUCCUCCAAGGCUAAAUACUCCUGACUGACCGAUAGUGAACCAGUACCGUGAGGGAAAGGCGAAAAGAACCCCGGCGAGGGGAGUGAAAAAGAACCUGAAACCGUGUACGUACAAGCAGUGGGAGCACGCUUAGGCGUGUGACUGCGUACCUUUUGUAUAAUGGGUCAGCGACUUAUAUUCUGUAGCAAGGUUAACCGAAUAGGGGAGCCGAAGGGAAACCGAGUCUUAACUGGGCGUUAAGUUGCAGGGUAUAGACCCGAAACCCGGUGAUCUAGCCAUGGGCAGGUUGAAGGUUGGGUAACACUAACUGGAGGACCGAACCGACUAAUGUUGAAAAAUUAGCGGAUGACUUGUGGCUGGGGGUGAAAGGCCAAUCAAACCGGGAGAUAGCUGGUUCUCCCCGAAAGCUAUUUAGGUAGCGCCUCGUGAAUUCAUCUCCGGGGGUAGAGCACUGUUUCGGCAAGGGGGUCAUCCCGACUUACCAACCCGAUGCAAACUGCGAAUACCGGAGAAUGUUAUCACGGGAGACACACGGCGGGUGCUAACGUCCGUCGUGAAGAGGGAAACAACCCAGACCGCCAGCUAAGGUCCCAAAGUCAUGGUUAAGUGGGAAACGAUGUGGGAAGGCCCAGACAGCCAGGAUGUUGGCUUAGAAGCAGCCAUCAUUUAAAGAAAGCGUAAUAGCUCACUGGUCGAGUCGGCCUGCGCGGAAGAUGUAACGGGGCUAAACCAUGCACCGAAGCUGCGGCAGCGACGCUGAUGCGUUGUUGGGUAGGGGAGCGUUCUGUAAGCCUGCGAAGGUGUGCUGUGAGGCAUGCUGGAGGUAUCAGAAGUGCGAAUGCUGACAUAAGUAACGAUAAAGCGGGUGAAAAGCCCGCUCGCCGGAAGACCAAGGGUUCCUGUCCAACGUUAAUCGGGGCAGGGUGAGUCGACCCCUAAGGCGAGGCCGAAAGGCGUAGUCGAUGGGAAACAGGUUAAUAUUCCUGUACUUGGUGUUACUGCGAAGGGGGGACGGAGAAGGCUAUGUUGGCCGGGCGACGGUUGUCCCGGUUUAAGCGUGUAGGCUGGUUUUCCAGGCAAAUCCGGAAAAUCAAGGCUGAGGCGUGAUGACGAGGCACUACGGUGCUGAAGCAACAAAUGCCCUGCUUCCAGGAAAAGCCUCUAAGCAUCAGGUAACAUCAAAUCGUACCCCAAACCGACACAGGUGGUCAGGUAGAGAAUACCAAGGCGCUUGAGAGAACUCGGGUGAAGGAACUAGGCAAAAUGGUGCCGUAACUUCGGGAGAAGGCACGCUGAUAUGUAGGUGAAGCGACUUGCUCGUGGAGCUGAAAUCAGUCGAAGAUACCAGCUGGCUGCAACUGUUUAUUAAAAACACAGCACUGUGCAAACACGAAAGUGGACGUAUACGGUGUGACGCCUGCCCGGUGCCGGAAGGUUAAUUGAUGGGGUUAGCGCAAGCGAAGCUCUUGAUCGAAGCCCCGGUAAACGGCGGCCGUAACUAUAACGGUCCUAAGGUAGCGAAAUUCCUUGUCGGGUAAGUUCCGACCUGCACGAAUGGCGUAAUGAUGGCCAGGCUGUCUCCACCCGAGACUCAGUGAAAUUGAACUCGCUGUGAAGAUGCAGUGUACCCGCGGCAAGACGGAAAGACCCCGUGAACCUUUACUAUAGCUUGACACUGAACAUUGAGCCUUGAUGUGUAGGAUAGGUGGGAGGCUUUGAAGUGUGGACGCCAGUCUGCAUGGAGCCGACCUUGAAAUACCACCCUUUAAUGUUUGAUGUUCUAACGUUGACCCGUAAUCCGGGUUGCGGACAGUGUCUGGUGGGUAGUUUGACUGGGGCGGUCUCCUCCUAAAGAGUAACGGAGGAGCACGAAGGUUGGCUAAUCCUGGUCGGACAUCAGGAGGUUAGUGCAAUGGCAUAAGCCAGCUUGACUGCGAGCGUGACGGCGCGAGCAGGUGCGAAAGCAGGUCAUAGUGAUCCGGUGGUUCUGAAUGGAAGGGCCAUCGCUCAACGGAUAAAAGGUACUCCGGGGAUAACAGGCUGAUACCGCCCAAGAGUUCAUAUCGACGGCGGUGUUUGGCACCUCGAUGUCGGCUCAUCACAUCCUGGGGCUGAAGUAGGUCCCAAGGGUAUGGCUGUUCGCCAUUUAAAGUGGUACGCGAGCUGGGUUUAGAACGUCGUGAGACAGUUCGGUCCCUAUCUGCCGUGGGCGCUGGAGAACUGAGGGGGGCUGCUCCUAGUACGAGAGGACCGGAGUGGACGCAUCACUGGUGUUCGGGUUGUCAUGCCAAUGGCACUGCCCGGUAGCUAAAUGCGGAAGAGAUAAGUGCUGAAAGCAUCUAAGCACGAAACUUGCCCCGAGAUGAGUUCUCCCUGACCCUUUAAGGGUCCUGAAGGAACGUUGAAGACGACGACGUUGAUAGGCCGGGUGUGUAAGCGCAGCGAUGCGUUGAGCUAACCGGUACUAAUGAACCGUGAGGCUUAACCUUACAACGCCGAAGCUGUU
rnacentral:rRNA from 1 species